rnacentral:lncRNA from 1 species
AAGGUUAGAAUGAAGAAGGUUGAAAAUAACAAGGUUAAAAGAAGAAAGUUGGAAUUGAAAAUGAUAGAAUAAAGAAGGCUAGAAAUAAUAAGUUUGAAAUGAAAAAGACUGGGAAUAAAAAGAUUAAAAUGAAGAAGAUUAGAAUGAAGAAGAUUUAAAUGAUAAGAUUGGAAUGAAGAAGUUUAAGAAUGAAAAGGUUUGAAUAAAAAAGGUUAAAAAUGACAAGGUUAGAAUGAAGAAGGUUGAAAAUGAUAAG